UACAGAGGGGGCAAGCGUUGUUCGGAAUUACUGGGCGUAAAGGGCGCGUAGGCGGCCCGCUAAGUCGAACGUGAAAUCCCCGGGCUCAACCCGGGAACUGCGUCCGAUACUGGCGGGCUUGAAUCCGGGAGAGGGAUGCGGAAUUCCAGGUGUAGCGGUGAAAUGCGUAGAUAUCUGGAGGAAUACCGGUGGCGAAGGCGGCAUCCUGGACCGACAUUGACGCUGAGGAGCGAAAGCUAGGGGAGCAAACGGG
rnacentral:rRNA from 1 species